rnacentral:lncRNA from 10 species
UCUUUCACGUUUGUCAGUUGAGCUACUAAUUUAUAUGCUCCCUUUGUCCUUUGCUUUUAGGUCCUCCCUGAUCCUCCCUCCCACUGUGACCUUGGGGGUCCAGGAUAAAUUCCAUUAAAACUCCUGCUCCCUGUUCUUACCAGGAUGGCCUUGAUACAUAAAUUUAACUCUAGCCCCACUGUCUGUCUAUCCUGUUAUCUCUUUCUUAAUAUUUCUUUGGUCUUAUUCCUCCUGCUCCUCCUCUGACUGUCUCUGAUGUCUCGAUCACUGCCUCCCUCCCCUGAGCCAAUGCCACGGAACCGCCCAACAUGUGUAAGUGUGACUGCCUGGAAAAUGUAACCUUCAAAGAGCCUGAAGUUGAGUGACAGUAAACAGAACCUUGGAGACCCAGACAUCAUCUAGGGUUUACAUGGACUCAGCGGCAGAGACUUGGAAACAAGGCAAGAUGAGAGAGAGGGAGGGAUGGGGAUGAUCAAAAGAAUGAGCUGGAGGGAAAAGUGGGAACUAGGGAGAAGUAAUAUUGAUUCAACCAGGCCACACAAUCCUUGCUGUCAAUGAGAGAAGGGCCUUCAGAGAUCAGCUAGUCCAGGAGUGGCAAAGAUGUUUCAUGUCAUGAGCUAAUGUUGAAUGAUGACUAGCAGCUUCCUGGAAUGCAUCCUGAAAAGAGAGUGCCGUAGUUGAUUAGCAAUGUCUGCCAUGGGCAUUGGAUGAGAAAUGGUGGCAUGUGUGCUAGGAUUUACCUCUUUGAUCUAAUUCAACCUCUUCACUGUAGUACAACCCAGGAGUCCGCAGGGAAGGGAUUUGUCCAAGGUUUUCACAGCGAGUUGCAGGCAGAUCUCAAAGCUUUUGCGAUCUCCUGAAACCCAGGUGGAAUUUGCAAAACUAGGUAUUGACAAGGGACUCAGGGAAAGUGGUGAGUUUCAGAAGCCCUGAGUGUGGGAUAACUAGAAAAGGAGCUUCCACUCUGAGCUGUGGAGAAGAAUGUGGAUGCAUUGCAGACCAGACACAGGUGAGUGCUUGGUUCUCAUGGAGUGAUCAGUUAUCUGGAUCUGCCCAGCACCCUGGAUACCUUUUUCA